rnacentral:rRNA from 1 species
CCCUAUUAUUUUGAGUGUUAAUGUUUUUACCUGAGUAGUAUUAGUUGUGUUCUUGAAACUUAAAGAAUUUGGCGGUAUCCUACUCCGUUCAGAGGAAUCUGUCUCGUUAUCGAUAGUCCGCGUUGGACCUUACUUAGGGUAAUUUUGGUUUGUAUACCGCCGUUUAUUGAUUAUCUUUUUAGAGUUUCUGAAUUUUCUGGUUUCUUUAUUUUGAUUUAUUGCAGGUCAAGGUGCAGCUUUUUCUAAGUGUAAUAUGAUGGAUUACAGUGUUAUGUGUUGUUUGGAUUGUUUGUUUGAAUACUGGCAUGAAAUUGGAUUUGGUUGUAAUGUUUUGUAGAUUGUUUUCAUGAUAGUUGGUUCUAGGAUAUGUACACAUUGCCCGUCGCUCUCAUUUUCUGGUGAGAUAAGUC